CCCUGACAGAGAAAUCUGAACAGAAUUUAAGGGAAUGGAAGAAGGAAAUUCAAUGCAAACUGUCAAAAAUCACAUAUUGAUGUUCUUAUUUAACUACAAAAUCCAAAAUCACACUUCAUGUGAUUAAAAAAUGGCUUAACUCCUUACUGCAUUGCUUCUUGAAAUUAGGCUUUGAGAGGACUGAAGUCUAAAUGGAUAUUUUUCUGAGAAGUUUUAUUUUCUGUGAAGAAGAAAGUACAGCAGAUGCUUUUUCCUGACAUUUAUACAAAUUUAGAAGACCGGACAGAAAGUGAUUUAAUUCUGCCCACAGAUUCUGGUUAUAGGAUCUAAGAAGAUAAGCUAACAGAGUGACAUCAACAGAAUAUCUAAAAGAGAAGAAGAACCCAUUGUGAUGGAACAGGGAUCUAGAAAAGACAUUUAGAAAGAGAAGAAAGGAAAUAUAAACUUUUUAAGAAUUAUCCGACAAACAAGAACAACAAAAUCCUUAACAGUGUGAUUAAGAAAUUGAAAUACAAAAUUCGGUAUGUCAAAAUAAUUAUGAAC